UACGAAGGUGGCAAGCGUUACUCGGAAUUACUAGGCGUAAAGGGCAGGUAGGUGGUUUGGUUAGUCUGUUGUGAAAGCUCCUUGCUCAACGGGGAGAGGUCAACAGAUACUGCCAAGCUUGAGUAUAGGAGAGGGUACUGGAAUUCCCGGUGUAGCGGUGAAAUGCGCAGAGAUCGGGAGGAACACCAAUGGCGAAAGCAGGUACCUGGACUAUUACUGACACUCAGCUGCGAAAGCUAGGGGAGCAAACAGG
rnacentral:rRNA from 1 species